GAUGAACGCCAGCUACAGGCUUAACACAUGCAAGUCGAGGGGCAGCAUGAAAGGAACUUCGGUUCCUUUUGAUGGCGACCGGCGCACGGGUGCGUAACGCGUAUCGAACCUGCCUCAUACUCGGGGAUAGCCUUGCGAAAGUAAGAUUAAUACGCGGCGGUCUCGGAUGGCCGCAUGACUGUCCGAGUGAAGAUUUAUCGGUAUGAGAUGGCGAGGCGUUCCAUUAGCUAGUUGGUGAGGUAAAGGCUAACCAAGGCAUCGGUGGGUAGGGGUUCUGAGAGGAAGGUCCCCCACAUUGGAACUGAGACACGGUCCAAACUCCUACGGGAGGCAGCAGUGAGGAAUAUUGGUCAAUGGACGAAAGUCUGAACCAGCCAAGUAGCGUGCAGGACGACGGCCCUCUGGGUUGUAAACUGCUUUUGGUUGGGAAUAAAAAGAGGGACGUGUCCCUUAUUGUAUGUACCAUCAGAAAAAGGACCGGCUAAUUCCGUGCCAGCCGCCGCCGUAA
rnacentral:rRNA from 1 species